rnacentral:rRNA from 1 species
CUCUAACAUAGCCUGUCGAUGACGGUACCGUAAGAAGAAGCACCGGCUAACUACGUGCCAGCAGCCGCGGUACUACGUAGGGUGCGAGCGUUAAUCGGAAUUACUGGGCGUAAAGCGUGCGCAGGCGGUUUUGUAAGACAGAUGUGAAAUCCCCGGGCUUAACCUGGGAACUGCGUUUUUGACUGCAAGGCUGGAGUACGGCAGAGGGGGGUGGAAU